rnacentral:lncRNA from 1 species
CGUAUGUGAGCACCUUCGUUAUGGAUUUGUUUAUUAUGGAAAUCCUAAUUUCAGUUACUCUGCUGUAAACCAGAGUAACUCUGAUGAUUUCGGGAACUUCACUGAGUCACUUAUCUUGUGGUAUGGUAUCUGUGAAAGUCACCCUCGUUCAGAUCACAUGCUGAAGACUUAAAUCUAACGGGUCGAGCUUUUUCAUUACAUUUCAUUCUGCAACCAGAUACUAUAACAUGUGUAUAGACUUUUCAAAAGGGUUUACUUAAAAUGAUUGCUGCAAGAUAUAAAUAUGAGAUUCAUUGUUCAGAAGACCUCUGUAGAGCACUGCUGGCAUGUGACACUGGUUGGACAUCAUCAUCAUUCUUGCUAUUUAUGUAUUCCUGAUGAACGGGAUUUCAAUGGAGACUGCUUGCUGAGUCCCUCCCCAGAAUGGCUGCAUAACCCAGCUGUUGCAUGCACAAAAGAGGAAAACCAAUCCUAUUCCAUAAGAGGGUGA